UAGGGAAUCUUCGGCAAUGGGGGCAACCCUGACCGAGCAACGCCGCGUGAGUGAAGAAGGUUUUCGGAUCGUAAAGCUCUGUUGUAAGUCAAGAACGGGUGUGAGAGUGGAAAGUUCACACUGUGACGGUAGCUUACCAGAAAGGGACGGCUAACUACGUGCCAGCAGCCGCGGUAAUACGUAGGUCCCGAGCGUUGUCCGGAUUUAUUGGGCGUAAAGCGAGCGCAGGNGGUUUGAUAAGUCUGAAGUUAAAGGCUGUGGCUCAACCAUAGUUCGCUUUGGAAACUGUCAAACUUGAGUGCAGAAGGGGAGAGUGGAAUUCCAUGUGUAGCGGUGAAAUGCGUAGAUAUAUGGAGGAACACCGGUGGCGAAAGCGGCUCUCUGGUCUGUAACUGACGCUGAGGCUCGAAAGCGUGGGGAGCGAACAGGAUUAGAUACCCUGGUAGUCCACGCCGUAAACGAUGAGUGCUAGGUGUUGGAUCCUUUCCGGGAUUCAGUGCCGCAGCUAACGCAUUAAGCACUCCGCCUGGGG
rnacentral:rRNA from 1 species